GCUCCUAUAGCUCAGUGGUUAGAGCACUGCUCUUAUAAAGCAGGGGUCGAUGGUUCAAGUCCAUCUGGGAGCA
rnacentral:tRNA from 1 species